AAUCUCUGUCUAUAUAUGGCGGUGACUUGACUUCCAGUUAUAAUAAUAUCGGCCGCUGCUGCAAAUAGGGUUGGGUCUUCUUUCUUCUUCUAGCUCUCGAUUUCCGACCAAACCUUCCCCCCUAGAUCGCAGCCAUGUCGUCCAAGCAAGGUGGAAAGGCAAAGCCUUUGAAGCAGCCCAAGGCUGAGAAGAAGGAGUACGACGAGGAUGAUUUGGCCAAGCUUCAGAAGAAGAAGGAUGAGGAAAAGGCACUGAAGGAGCUUAGAGCCAAGGCAUCACAGAAAGGGUCUUUUGGAGGUGCUGGCCUCAAGAAGAGUGGAAAGAAAUGAGGGGUUUUCAAAACCCAAAGUUUGGAUGUGAUAUAAUAUUAUCUGCGUUGAAGUCUUUCAAUUUAUGGGAUGGUCUAAUUCCUAGCUGAAUGUGCUCCUAAACGCUUCAGUGUGUAACAUUAAGACUAAAUAAAUUGAAUUGCCUUUCUUAAUUAGCUUGUUUCAUUUUUAUGUAUGGAGUAAAUUCCUUAUAUGAGCAAAUGAGAAUGAUGAAUGUGCUGGUU